GAAACCGUUCAGGGGUAAACCUGAGAAACCCAAAAGAUCGAAUGGGGAGAUUCAUCGUCAGCGAUAUUGGUACGUGUGCGGUUCGCGAUGCCCGUGACCUCGGUCACGCGGUACGCGUCCGCAUGUUUUUAUUGCCUGAUAACGUCGGCGUGCACUUCUCCCCUAGUAGGACGUCGCGACCCGUUGGGUGUCGGUCUACGGCCCGGGUGGGUGACUGUCUCGUGUGGCGCUUUACGGCGUCACUGCGGGGCAGACCCCCGGCUGCCUGACCGGCUGCCCGGCGGUACUCGCAAGGUAUCCGGCCGCAAAAAUUUGAACUGCGUCCGGCCCGUCGCAAGCGAGGCGAGUGUUUCCCGAAUGUACGGAUCUAAUGCCGUCAUCGGGCCUGGCCAGCUGUUGGUUGACGGUGUCCUGGGACUGGCUGUAACUUAAUUAUGAUACCGGUCAGCGACGCUACUGCUUUGGGUACUUUCAGGACCCGUCUUGAAACACGGACCAAGGAGUCUAACAUGUGCGCGAGUCAUUGGGAGCUAUUAAGCCUAAAGGCGCAAUGAAAGUGAAGGUCGGCCUUGCGCCGACCGAGGGAGGAUGGGCCGCUCUUCGAGUCGGUCCCGCACUCCCGGGACGUCUCGUUCUCAUUACGAGAAGAGGCGUACCCAGAGCGUACACGU
rnacentral:rRNA from 1 species